rnacentral:rRNA from 1 species
UACGUAGGGGGCAAGCGUUAUCCGGAUUUACUGGGUGUAAAGGGAGCGUAGACGGCGGUGCAAGCCAGAUGUGAAAGCCCGGGGCUCAACCCCGGGACUGCAUUUGGAACUGUGCUGCUAGAGUGUCGGAGAGGCAGGCGGAAUUCCUAGUGUAGCGGUGAAAUGCGUAGAUAUUAGGAAGAACACCAGUGGCGAAGGCGGCCUGCUGGACGAUGACUGACGUUGAGGCUCGAAAGCGUGGGGAGCAAACAGG